GACGAACCCUUGCGGCGUGCUUAACACAUGCAAGUCGAACGGAAAGGCCCUGCUUUUGUGGGGUGCUCGAGUGGCGAACGGGUGAGUAACACGUGAGUAACCUGCCCUUGACUUUGGGAUAACUUCAGGAAACUGGGGCUAAUACCGGAUAGGAGCUCCUGCUGCAUGGUGGGGGUUGGAAAGUUUCGGCGGUUGGGGAUGGACUCGCGGCUUAUCAGCUUGCUGGUGGGGUAGUGGCUUACCAAGGCUUUGACGGGUAGCCGGCCUGAGAGGGUGACCGGCCACAUUGGGACUGAGAUACGGCCCAGACUCCUACGGGAGGCAGCAGUGGGGAAUAUUGCACAAUGGGCGGAAGCCUGAUGCAGCAACGCCGCGUGCGGGAUGACGGCCUUCGGGUUGUAAACCGCUUUCGCCUGUGACGAAGCGUGAGUGACGGUAAUGGGUAAAGAAGCACCGGCUAACUACGUGCCAGCAGCCGCGGUGAUACGUAGGGUGCGAGCGUUGUCCGGAUUUAUUGGGCGUAAAGGGCUCGUAGGUGGUUGAUCGCGUCGGAAGUGUAAUCUUGGGGCUUAACCCUGAGUGUGCUUUCGAUACGGGUUGACUUGAGGAAGGUAGGGGAGAAUGGAAUUCCUGGUGGAGCGGUGGAAUGCGCAGAUAUCAGGAGGAACACCAGUGGCGAAGGCGGUUCUCUGGGCCUUUCCUGACGCUGAGGAGCGAAAGCGUGGGGAGCGAACAGGCUUAGAUACCCUGGUAGUCCACGCCGUAAACGGUGGGUACUAGGUGUGGGGUUCAUUCCACGGGUUCCGUGCCGUAGCUAACGCUUUAAGUACCCCGCCUGGGGAGUACGGCCGCAAGGCUAAAACUCAAAGGAAUUGACGGGGCCCCGCACAAGCGGCGGAGCAUGCGGAUUAAUUCGAUGCAACGCGUAGAACCUUACCUGGGUUUGACAUGGAUCGGGAGUGCUCAGAGAUGGGUGUGCCUCUUUUGGGGUCGGUUCACAGGUGGUGCAUGGCUGUCGUCAGCCCGUGUCGUGAGAUGUUGGGUUAAGUCCCGCAACGAGCGCAACCCUUGUUCACUGUUGCCAGCACGUUAUGGUGGGGACUCAGUGGAGACCGCCGGGGUCAACUCGGAGGAAGGUGGGGAUGACGUCAAGUCAUCAUGCCCCUUAUGUCCAGGGCUUCACGCAUGCUACAAUGGCUGGUACAGAGAGUGGCGAGCCUGUGAGGGUGAGCGAAUCUCGGAAAGCCGGUCUCAGUUCGGAUUGGGGUCUGCAACUCGACCUCAUGAAGUCGGAGUCGCUAGUAAUCGCAGAUCAGCAACGCUGCGGUGAAUACGUUCCCGGGGCU
rnacentral:rRNA from 1 species